UACGAAGGGUGCGAGCGUUGUUCGGAAUUACUGGGCGUAAAGCGCGUGUAGGCGGCUAAGUAAGUCGGGCGUGAAAUCCCACGGCUCAACCGUGGAAGUGCACUCGAAACUGCAUAGCUAGAGUCCUGGAGAGGAAGGUGGAAUGCUUGGUGUAGAGGUGAAAUUCGUAGAUAUCGGGAGGAACACCGGUGGCGAAGGCGGCGAUCUGGGUCGAUACUGACGCUGAGGUGCGAAAGCGUGGGGAGCAAACAGG
rnacentral:rRNA from 1 species